GUGAACAGUGAACUGCUGUGUAAACAUGUUAAUGGACUGGCCCUCUCCCUCGCUCGCCUUUUCUUUAUCAAUAAGACCAAUGGAGUCUAGUGAGUGGUGUGAAUAAUGAAUGACCCCCCUCCCCAUCGCUCCCCACUGAACACUAGUGUUUAUGAUGACAUCAGUCUGGUGUAAACAGUGAGCAUCUCUCUCUUAUCCAGGUUACUAGUGGUGAAGGGAGGGGAGAGGAGGUGUAAACAGUGAGCAUCUCUCCUCUUAUCCAGGUUACUAGUGGUGAAGGGAGGGGAGAGGAGGUGUAAACAGUGAGUAUCUCUCUCUUAUCCAGGUUACUAGUGGUGAAGGGAGGGGAGAGGAGGUGUAAACAGUGAGCAUCUCUCUCCUCUUAUCCAGGUUACUAGUGGUGAAGGGAGGGGAGAGGAGGUGUAAACAGUGAGCAUCUCUCCUCUUAUCCAGGUUACUAGUGGUGAAGGGAGGGGAGAGGAGGUGUAAACAGUGAGCAUCUCUCCUCUUAUCCAGGUUACUAGUGGUGAAGGGAGGGUAGAGGAGGUGUAAACAGUGAGCAUCUCUCCUCUUAUCCAGGUUACUAGUGGUGAAGGGAGGGGAGAGGAGGUGUAAACAGUGAGCAUCUCUCCUCUUAUCCAGGUUACUAGUGGUGAAGGGAGGGGAGAGGAGGUGUAAACAGUGAGCAUCUCUCCUCUUAUCCAGGUUACUAGUGGUGAAGGGAGGGGAGAGGAGGUGUAAACAGUGAGCAUCUCUCCUCUUAUCCAGGUUACUAGUGGUGAAGGGAGGGGAGAGGAGGUGUAAACAGUGAGCAUCUCUCCUCUUAUCCAGGUUACUAGUGGUGAAGGGAGGGGAGAGGAGGUGUAAACAGUGAGUAUCUCUCUCCUCUUAUCCAGGUUACUAGUGGUGAAGGGAGGGGAGAGGAGUGUUGGCCUGUGUUAUUGGAUACAGGCAGCAUAUUAUUCCCCUGCUCUGAGUAGGAUUUACUUGGUAGUGGAGGGAACGUGGCUGUCUCUUUGCCCCCUUUUUUCAGUGGAGUGUGUGUCUGUGCGCUCCCUUCAAACACACAUGGAUAUGCGUAUAUACAAAGCUGCAUGUACAUAAUAUAAACAUACUUCUAGUCCAACACAUCCCGGCGGUGCCCCGGGUGGGUCGGCAG